GAUGAACGCUGGCGGCGUGCUUAACACAUGCAAGUCGAACGGUGAACACGGAGCUUGCUCUGUGGGAUCAGUGGCGAACGGGUGAGUAACACGUGAGCAACCUGCCCCUGACUCUGGGAUAAGCGCUGGAAACGGCGUCUAAUACUGGAUAUGUGACGUGACCGCAUGGUCUGCGUUUGGAAAGAUUUUUCGGUUGGGGAUGGGCUCGCGGCCUAUCAGCUUGUUGGUGAGGUAAUGGCUCACCAAGGCGUCGACGGGUAGCCGGCCUGAGAGGGUGACCGGCCACAAUGGGACUGAGACACGGCCCAGACGCCUACGGGAGGCAGCAGUGGGGAAUAUUGCACAAUGGGCGCAAGCCUGAUGCAGCAACGCCGCGUGAGGGAUGACGGCCUUCGGGUUGUAAACCUCUUUUAGCAGGGAAGAAGCGAAAGUGACGGUACCUGCAGAAAAAGCGCCGGCUACUACGUG
rnacentral:rRNA from 1 species